AUGCAGGGCAGCAGCAGCGUGACCGCCUUCGACGACCUGCCCGAGUGGCUCGUCGUUGACGAGAUCCUUGUCCGCUUGCCGCCCAAGGAUGUGCUCCGCUGCCGUGCCGUUCGCAAGUCGUGGCGCAGCGGCACAUCCACCGAUGCGUUCAACCUCGGACACCACUGUCGCCAGCCCUCGCUUCCCAUCAUCCAACACAAAUUGGGCAUCUGCCGCGUCGUCGGAGGCUGCAAUGAUCUAAAGAUACGGCCUGUCAUCCGGUAUGAAGGCUCCUUUACAAAAUUCCAACUCCAAGCCGCCUGUGAUGGCCUCCUCAUCGUGUCGCAGCAAGCCAAUUUCUUCAUCUGCAAUCCAGCCACCCUCAAGUGUGCUUCACUGCCACGUCCUCCACUACGGCCACGCUUCAGUUUCAUCGACGUAGUCGGCUUCUACCGGCACCACACAUCUGGAGAACACCGGAUACUCUGGGUGUCAUACACGAAACCCAUUAGGAUUUACGAGACAUUUCAGUUGCCUGAUUACUUUAUCCACGCGGUGGGAUCGAGCCAGCCAAGAUGCAUCCAAUGGCCGACAGUUUCAGAACAAAAGUAUUUUCCUGCUACCCGGUCUGCCGAUUGUCCGCCAGUCCACCAUCGUGGUAGCCUGCACUGGCUAAUGGGCCUCAACAUAACAGUAUUUGACACCGUAGCCGAGACAUUCCGGCAGACGAGCCGCCCAACACAGUUGGGCGAUAUGGUGUCAUUGUUGGAUAUGGGCGAGGCCCUUGCUUUGUGCCACGUCGCCCCUGACUGCGCCACAUUAGAUGUUUGGGUGUUGCAGGUCUAUGAUGCCGGGACCUGGGGCUUUCACUACCGGAUUGACCUGUUAGGGAUGGAGGCAUCACCACCGAUUAAUUGGAUGUUCCAAUCUAUCCCUAGGAUGGCUCUGAUCAAUGAGCGUGAGCUGUUGAUCCAGAGGCAUAUUCACCAUCUGUUGCAUUGUGACAUUGAUGGUGUGUUUUUAGGUAAUGUGGAAAGCGAAGAGCGUUUAUCCUGCUGGACACUUACUCGGCAUUGCCUCCAAGAGAGCAUGAUUUCACUUCCAUUGUUUGAGAUGCAGGAAGAAGAAGCUGUGAACCAGGAGCCCCCAUUCUCCAUUGUGUUAUAA
rnacentral:rRNA from 1 species